rnacentral:lncRNA from 1 species
UGGAUGAGCCCACCUGAGAAGCACCUACCUUCACCCCAUGAUGUGUUUGUUGGGAAUUGGAAACCCAGCAAGAACGACACAUUGUCGAAAAGGGUACCUGGAUUUGGUGCCACUAUAAAUUUGCUCUAUGGGGACCAAACUUGUGGGCAAGGACCUGAUAAUGAGGCGAUGAACAACAUCAUUUCUCACUAUCUUUAUUACCUUGAUCUCAUGGGUGUUGGCAGAGAAGAAGCUGGGCCUAAUGAAGUUCUCUCCUGUGCUGAACAAAAGGCUUUUAAGCCCUCUGGUUCACCAUCUUCUGCCACAAAUUGAUCUUUCCUUCCUCUCUCCAUUCUUCGAUCCUGCUAAACAUUCUUAAUAAAGGAGGCAAGUAGACAACAUAUUUCAACUACUUUUGGCCUUCAAGUGAUGAGACUGAAACAAGUUUGGAGUGGGCACUCAGUUAAUUCUGUAUAGAUUCUUACUUUGCAUACAUAUAUAUAUAUCUGGCCUUUUGAUGUCUCCUUUCUUUUGUAUAAUUUGAAUAUAUUUUGGUAUAAUGUAUACAAUUGAAUAUUUGAUCAUCAAAGAUUGUAACAAUUUUGUUGAUAUUUGGAUGUUGUGCAAUCAAAAUCAUACCAAACUUCACACGAAUAAUCUGUUGUAUCAUUACUCAUUUUGAUAUGUUGUGGGUCUGUUAACAGUAAUGUUCUGUAUUUUUGUUUUUAGUAUUAUAACUGUUAUAUAAGACACUAAUGAAUGUCAUAAGUAAUGAGAAAAUAGUUUUCAUUCACUACCCCUCUCUCUCCUGAGAUUAGGUUUUCUAACAAUUUUAAAAUAAAAAAUGACUUUCUUUAUAAUUUGGAAAUAAAAAAAUUACUUCCAAUUGCACAAUUCAAUUUUUUUUUUCUAAAAUAAUACUUAUGGACAAUCCGUAAUCGUUUUGAAUUUCUGAUUGUGAUCCAAAAAUAAAAAUACGUAUGAAUUUUGCAAUUUGAAUUUUUUUUUUUUAAAAAAAGACUUUCGGAUUAUAUAAUUCAAAAGUAAUUUUUUUUCUUUUUGAUUAUGCAAUCCAAAAAGUGUUUAUGAGAAAAAAUAAUUUUAAUUACGCAAUUUGAAUUUUUAUUUUAUUUUUACAUUAUAUAAUUCGAAAGUCAAAAAAUAUUUUUGAAUCAUACUAUUUAAGAGUAAAUUGAAAAUCUUAUUAUAUGAGAGUACAGGAAGAAACUGCCCACAGGCAAUUGGUAACACGAAGGACUAGUUGAAGAUGUUGCGUUCUUCAAGCCCAAUAUGCUGUCUUAUUGGGUCCCGAAAUCAGCUCUGCACGGCCCUUUCAAUUUUUGUAUUUCAUGCGUUAAGCGAUAAAAACAAAGGAAUUGCUUUCUGCACCCUAUUAUUUUUCUUUCUGCACCAUCACAUUUCCUGAAUUUGUUUUUUGAACCACAGAAACAGUUCCAGAAAAUACUUUUGGGGCAGAAACCAACCCUUCCUAUUACGGUAAAAAAAGAAAAAAUAUUCGAGUAACUUGUUUCGAUGGGGUGGAUGAAGAAAUGCAGUGAUAUCAAAUAGUCAUGUAGUUGUUAUCAUUCAACAUAUUAUUGCAUCUAUUUGAGAAGUCAUAUAUGUUUUUAAUAUACUUAUAAAUUUAUCUUCAUUUUUUUUAAUCUCUUAAACAAAAGUUAUGUUGAAUUAUAAUCAUGUGAAGGAGGUUGCUAAACAAAUCUCGACAAUUUAAUGUGUUCUUUACUGUGUUCGUAAAAAGAAUUCAAUUACCUUCAAUAAAGUAUAAGCCGUAAUUAUUGUUGAAAAGUAUUGAAUAAAAACAACUAGAACUUCAGGCAUUAACACAUAUUAAAGCGUUUUUCAAUCGUCUAAAAGAUAUAAAAAUUAUCCAUGGUUCAAAAAAGCAAUGAAUAAAAGGAACAAUCUGCAUAAGAAAUCCAUUUAAAAAAAAUAAUAUUUAAGCCUUCGAUUAAAAAAGGAAAGAGAGAAGAAAAAAAAAGAAAAGGAGGAUUUUUAAAGAAGAUGAAAAAAUAUUUUACUUAUUUUGUUAGUACUUUAUUUAAUACGACUCUUAAUAAAUCAUUCUAAUUAUUACAUAUUCAUGAUUUAAUUCCAUAAAAAUGAAAUAGGUUGCCUUUACUUAACAUAUUUUUCAACUUAAGUUUUUCAAAGGUAGUUUGCAUUGGAUUUUUGUAAUGUAAUUUUUUUCAACUUAAGUUUCAAAGACUCCAUGGACCUUUUUUGAUGAAGCUUCUUUUACCAAAAGUUGAAGCUUUGGAUUGUUGAAGAUAUACAGAAACUAAUCCCACCAACACGUCUAACAAAGCUUUUAUUUUAACCUAAAAAGAAAGCAGAAAGAGAAGGAAUUGAGAGAGAAAAAGACUGACCUUGUGAAGGAAAUGAAGAGAAAAUGAAAAGCUUGAAGAAGUAAGAAGCUUUAAGUUGAAGUUCAUUAGAUGGAGUUAACUUGAAGAAAAGUGGUGGCUAUGAUGAGAGUGUAAAACAAAGGAUACAUUCUCAUUGUUGUUGUGUAUGUGGGUGUUAACAUGAUUU